rnacentral:rRNA from 1 species
CACGUAGGGUGCGAGCGUUGUCCGGAAUUAUUGGGCGUAAAGAGUUCGUAGGCGGUUUGUCGCGUCGUUCGUGAAAACUUGGGGCUUAACUCCAAGCGUGCGGGCGAUACGGGCAGACUUGAGUACUACAGGGGAGACUGGAAUUCCUGGUGUAGCGGUGAAAUGCGCAGAUAUCAGGAGGAACACCGGUGGCGAAGUCGGGUCUCUGGGUAGUAACUGACGCUGAGGAACGAAAGCGUGGGUAGCGAACAGG